rnacentral:rRNA from 1 species
GACGAACGCUGGCGGCGUGCCUAAUACAUGCAAGUAGGACGCAGUUGCGAACGGGUGAGUAACGCGUAGGUAACUGCCUAUUAGAGGGGGAUAACUAUUGGAAACGAUAGCUAAUACCGCAUACUAGUAGAUGGACCUGCGUUGUAUUAGGUAGUAGGUAGGGUAAUGGCAUACCUAGGCAACGAUACAUAGACGACCUGGAAGGGUGUUCAGCCACACUGGGACUGAGACACGGCCCAGACUCCUACGGGAGGCAGCAGUAGGGAAUCUUCGGCAAUGGGGGGAACCCUGACCGAGCAACGCCGGGUGAGUGAAGAAGGUUUUCGGAUCGGAAAGCUCUGUUGUUAAGGAAGCGUUACUUAACCAGAAAGGGACGGCUAACUACGUGCCAGCAGCCGCGGUAAUUC